ACAAACCAGGGCAAGUAAAGAAGAAGAGUAGGAGGUUCUGGUAAGGUUUUUAAUGGCGAUUUCAUCGUUGGAGAAGAUGAAUGUUCAGAGUUCAGAUAAGGAAGGGAGGAUGGUUGAGUUUACCUUGCACUGAGCUAUAUUUAGCACAGACGCGUUAUUUUAGGUGACUCCCCUUCUUUGUUUCACUUGGCGUUGGUUGAGAGAUUUAUUGCUAUUAAAGCCGGGAUAUAAGGAGGAGUUUGGUUCCGAUUUUUGGAGUUGUUCGGUGAUUCAGCAUCGAU